CCUACGGGUGGCAGCAGUGAGGAAUAUUGGUCAAUGGCCGCAGGGCUGAACCAGCCAAGUCGCGUGAGGGAUGACGGUCCUAUGGAUUGUAAACCUCUUUUGUCAGGGAGCAAAGGGCGCCACGUGUGGCGUUUUGCGAGUACCUGAAGAAAAAGCAUCGGCUAACUCCGUGCCAGCAGCCGCGGUAAUACGGAGGAUGCGAGCGGUAUCCGGAUUGAUUGGGUUUAAAGGGUGGGCAGGGGGACUGUAAUGUCAGGGGGAAAAUUGCGGGGUUCAACCCCGUCGUGCCGUUGAAACUGGCGUUCUUGAGUGAGCGAGAGGUAUGCGGAAUGCGAGGUGUAGCAGUGAAAUGCAUAGAUAUCACGAAGAACUCCGAUUGCGAAGGCAGCAUACCGGCGCUCAACUGACGCUCAUGAACGAAAGCGUGGGUAUCGAACAGGAUUAGAUACCCCAGUAGUC
rnacentral:rRNA from 1 species